rnacentral:miRNA from 1 species
GUUUCACUAUGUAAUUCAGGCUGGCAUUGAACUCACUGUGUAGCCCAGGCUGGCCUUGAACUCACAGCCAUCCUCCUGCCUCCCCCUCCUGAGUGCUGGGAUUACAGACAUGC